rnacentral:rRNA from 1 species
UACGGGGGGGGGCAAGCGUUGUUCGGAAUUACUGGGCGUAAAGGGCGCGUAGGCGGUUUGCUAAGUUGAAUGUGAAAACUCUGGGCUUAACCCAGAGCCUGCAUUCAAUACUGGCAGGCUAGAGUUCUGGAGGGGAUAGCGGAAUUCCUGGUGUAGCGGUGAAAUGCGUAGAUAUCAGGAGGAACACCAAUGGCGAAGGCAGCUCGCUGGAACGGUACUGACGCUGAGGCGCGAAAGCGUGGGGAGCAAACAGG